GCCGGGGUGGUGAAAUUGGUAGACGCAGGGGACUCAAAAUCCCCCGGGCCUUGCGCCCGUGAGAGUUCGAUUCUCUCCCCCGGCA
rnacentral:tRNA from 1 species